GCCGCCACUCUCUCGGGAUUCCCCCAUACCUGAUCCAUCCAAUUCCCCCCAAUCGGUGCUCUCCUAUGGAUUCCCUCGAUCCACCAACCAGCGAGCACCACUCCUGUCAAUCCCCGCCGACGCCCAAGUCCAGCAAGCCAGCGCCUCCACAUCACCGACGACCGCGCCACCAGGGCCUCGCAGCCUCAAGCCCACGUGCUAUGGACCCCCCUGCCGCGCCUCUGCUCACCAGAGAACGGCUCCCUCACACGCCCGAGCUCCUCCCUCCAACCAGAAUGAGCUGGCCGCCGCCGUUUGGAGCGCCGCCGUGACGGAGAUAUCGAGCCAUGGUGCUCUUCACCUUGCGCGAAUUGCACGGCCGCCGGCCAUGGAGGCCACCGUGCUGGCCCUCAAGCGCGUCGCCCGCGCUCCUCCCUCGCCUCAGACGCGUCGCCGACCUCUACCUUCCAUGCUCCAGACCGAGGCGCCCCAAUUCCGCGCCUGCUGGCCGCCGAAACGAGCAGGAGCUCGUCCAUGGGCACCUCCUUUUUCUCCCGUCCUCGAGCUUGUCGGAGACCUCUGACGUCGACAGAGCACCAGCGGAACCAGGAGCCCUGCCUCGCGCCCUCCUCGUCGUCCUUCGUCGCCUGGUGUCGUCCUGCUGUGCCGAGCCCGCUGCCAAGUCCCACACCGCUGCGAAGGAAUGGCUAUGCUGCCGUCGCCAUGAUCUUAGUCGCCGAAUGGAUCGACAAGACCCUGCAAGCGCCCCUGCCAUGGCGCCUUGGCCUCCUCUGCUUCCCACAUCGCCAGAGUCCAUCGAGCCCCAUCCGCCGCCGCGCAUCGCCUGAAGCCGCCCCGCGUCUCGCCUCCUCUGUCUGCUUCCUCUGCAUCGAGCGAGGCCAGGAAACCACGCCCGCGUUGACUUCUCUCGUGUGGAUCCACCCAGGCCUCAACCGCCUCCAAGCCCAACACCACCAAGGCCGGCCUACCUCUCCUCCAGAUGGGCCUCGGCCCAAGCUUGCAGGUGCCGAGGAUACCGUGCAGAUGACGCAACCAAGCUCAAAGAGGAGCUCUAU